CCUACGGGAUGCACCAGUGGGGGAUAUUGGAUAAUGGGGGGAACCCUGAUCCAGCCAUGCCGCGUGUGUGAAGAAGGCCUUAUGGUUGUAAAGCACUUUAAGCGAGGAGGAGGCUACUAGUAUUAAUACUACUGGAUAGUGGACGUUACUCGCAGAAUAAGCACCGGCUAACUCUGUGCCAGCAGCCGCGGUAAUACAGAGGGUGCGUGCGUUAAUCGGAUUUACUGGGCGUGAAGCGUGCGUAGGCGGCCAUUUAAGUCAAAUGUGAAAUCCCCGAGCUCAACUUGGGAAUUGCAUUCGAUACUGGAUGGCUAGAGUAUGGGAGAGGAUGGUAGAGUUCCAGGUGUAGCGGUGAAAUGCGUAGAGAUCUGGAGGAAUACCGAUGGUGAAGGCAGCCAUCUUGCCUAAUACUGACGCUGAGGUACGAAAGCAUGGGGAGCAAACAGGAUUAGAUACCCGUGUAGUC
rnacentral:rRNA from 1 species